GCUAGGCUUGGUGGUACAUGCCUAUAGUCCCAGCUACUUGGGAGGCUGAGGUGGGAGGAUCACCUGAGCCCCUGAGUUUGAGAUUAGUGUAAGCACCAUAGUGAGACCCCAUCUCAA
rnacentral:sRNA from 1 species